rnacentral:lncRNA from 12 species
UUUCUAAAGUCAAGUUACACCAUUCAUGGUGCUGGAUAUAAAUGUAAGAGUGGACAAAUCUGCAGUUGGUAGAAGCAGUGAACUGUAUGCCCUCUACAGUUGGUAGAAGCAGUGAACUAUAUGCCCUCUAUGAUUUACAGGAGAGUUUUUUGGAUUCUACACGUGAACAUGAUGAUUUACAGGAGAGUUUUUUGGAUUCUACAUGUGAAGAUAUAUUCCUGCAGAUACCUGUAGUGAUGUGCCAUAUUUUUAUUUCCUGUAUGAAGCUUUGUGGAAGUGGGGCUGUUGAAAGAAGUAGGAGUGGCUGCAGAAGCAAAGUGCAGCUGGGAGGUCACACGGAUACUUUUGUGAAGGACAUCUAGCCAGCUCUGCUCACCUUGUGAAGCAUUGUCCCAGUGCAGAUUAGUUGCUCUCCCUUGGCAUCUAACAGGUGAAUUGAAACUAUUCAUAGACACAGCCCAGACAGUUCCUGUUGCAGUUUCUGUUCUUUGACUCUUUUGCGUUUGCCAGAUGAACAAUUUGCGCUGUGGAGGGUGCAGAGCCAGAUUCAGUGAAAAAGGCAUUUGCUGUGAUGACCUGUGUGAGAAUUAAUGUAAUCAGCAGAGUAUGGGACUUGCUACCAAGGAGGUGACAGCAUCAGUGCCUAGCAUGACGUCACUGACAACUUGGGGGUAAGUUAUUAAUU